UACGGGGGGGGCAAGCGUUGUUCGGAAUUACUGGGCGUAAAGGGCGCGUAGGCGGUGCUCUAAGUUAUAUGUGAAAACUCUGGGCUCAACCCAGAGCCUGCAUCUAAAACUGGAGUGCUAGAGUUCUGGAGGGGGUAGCGGAAUUCCUGGUGUAGCGGUGAAAUGCGUAGAUAUCAGGAGGAACACCGGUGGCGAAGGCGGCUACCUGGACAGAAACUGACGCUGAGGCGCGAAAGCUAGGGGAGCAAACAGG
rnacentral:rRNA from 1 species